ACGAACGCUGGCGGCCGUGCUUAACACAUGCAAGUCGAACGGAGAUUAUUAAUGAAGCUUGCGAUUUAAUAAUCUUAGUGGCGGACGGGUGAGUAACGCGUGGGCAACCUACCCAUAAGCGGGGGAUAACAGUUGGAAACGACUGCUAAUACCGCAUAAGCUAUAGAGGUCGCAUGACCUAAAUAGUAAAGGUGGCAUUUAAAGAUGCUAUCACUUAUGGAUGGGCCCGCGUCUGAUUAGCUAGUUGGUGGGGUAGUGGCCUACCAAGGCAACGAUCAGUAGCCGGCCUGAGAGGGUGGACGGCCACACUGGGACUGAGACACGGCCCAGACUCCUACGGGAGGCAGCAGUGGGGAAUAUUGCGCAAUGGGGGAAACCCUGACGCAGCGACGCCGCGUGAGCGAAGAAGGCCUUAGGGUCGUAAAGCUCUGUUGUAAGGGACGAAUGUUUAUCUGACGAACAGUCAGAUAAAGUGACGGUACCUUACCAGCAAGCCCCGGCUAACUACGUG
rnacentral:rRNA from 1 species